GAUGAACGCUAGCGGCAGGCUUAACACAUGCAAGUCGAGGGGCAGCAUGAGACGGAGAUUCGUCAAAGUCUUGAUGGCGACCGGCGCAAGGGUGCGUAACGCGUGAGCAACUUGCCCGUUUCUGGGGAAUAACCGGUGGAAACGCCGACUAAUACCCCAUAGUAUCAACUUUAGGCAUCUUUAGUUGAUUAAAGAAUUUCGGAAACGGAUAGGCUCGCGUGACAUUAGCUAGUAGGCGGGGUAACGGCCCACCUAGUCUACGAUGUCUAGGGGGUUCUGAGAGGAAGGUCCCCCACACUGGAACUGAGACACGGUCCAGACUCCUACGGGAGGCAGCAGUGAGGAAUAUUGGUCAAUGGACGAGAGUCUGAACCAGCCAAGUAGCGUGCAGGACGACGGCCCUCUGGGUUGUAAACUGCUUUUAGUUGGGAAUAAAAAGAGGGACGUGUCCCUUAUUGUAUGCACCAUCAGAAAAAGGACCGGCUAAUUCCGUG
rnacentral:rRNA from 1 species